UCUUAUCCCUGAACUGCUCCACCAGCCUCCUGACAAGGUGGAUAGCUUCUGUAGUGGAGCGACCCGGCAUGAAACCGAACUGGUUCACAGAUAUAGAUGUCAUCUCCCUCACCCUUGCCUCAAUUACCUGCUCCUAGACCUUCAUGGUAUGACUUAUUAAUUUGAUACCCCUAUAGUUGUCGCAGGACUGGAUGUCACCUUU
rnacentral:lncRNA from 1 species